rnacentral:snRNA from 1 species
CAGUGUUACAGCUCCUUCAGAAUUUGUCUAGCAGGCCUUC